GGGCGAGACGGGGAAGGUACAGAAAAACGUGCAGGUAUGGAUCAGGCCAAGGCUAUAUAAACCUAUAUAAAGGAUCAGGCCACCAGCAAACCAGUCGAAAUAUCAGAAAAUUACUAUUUGAAAGAACAGCGGCGUCGUCUCUUCAACGCACCAUGACUUUGGCGGUGAUUGUAGCGGCAUUUCUGCUGGUAACGGCAGUGUCGGCAAAGGAGCCAACUCCAGUCGUCAUGUGGCACGGCAUGGGAGACUCCUGCUGCCUUCCAUUCAGCAUGGGUGCCAUCAAGGAGGAAUUGGAAAAGCAGGUAGCUGGCGUGUAUGUGCGCUCACUGGAAAUCGGCUCCAGUGUUAUCCAAGAUACCCUGAACGGCUUUUUCAUGCCGAUCGACGCCCAAGUGGAGGAGGCCUGUCAGAAGAUCGCUGCUGAUGAGAGCCUCCAGGGAGGCUACAACGCCAUGGGCUUCUCCCAGGGAGGACAGUUUUUGCGGGCGGUGGCGCAGCGGUGUCCCAGCCCUCCGAUGAAGAACCUCAUCACGUUCGGUGGCCAGCACCAGGGCGUGUUCGGACUACCGCACUGCCUCGGUACCAAAGGCGUGUGCGAGGUCGUCAAGAAGCUGCUUGACUACGGAGCAUACGAAAGUUUCGUGCAGUCUCAUCUGGUGCAGGCCCAGUACUGGCACGACCCCCUCAAACAGCAGCAGUAUGUCGAGGUGUCCCAGUUCCUCGCCGACAUCAACAACGAACGGGAUGUGAAGAACGAGACGUACAAGGAGAACCUGAACAAGCUGGAGAACCUGGUGCUGGUGAUGUUCUCCAACGACACGAUGGUGGUGCCGCGCGAGUCCUCCCACUUUGGCUUCUACGCCCUGGGCCAGGACCAGGUGGUGGUGCCGCUGCAGCAGACUCCGAUCUACACUGAGGACUACUUGGGCCUGAAGCAGCUGGACGCGGACGGCAAGCUGACGAUGCUGGAGACGGAGGGCGACCACCUGCAGUUCAGCAUUGACUGGCUGGUGGAGAACAUCGUCAACGUGUAUCUCAAGUAGGAGGUCCGCACGCCUGGAGCAAACAGUUCCCGGUGGGGGACGGCCAGCGGCAGUCGCCAAUUGACAUCAUCACCGCGCAGACCAAGCCGGACGAGGCUCUGGAGGCCAGCCCGCUGGAGAUCAGCUACGACCCCAAGGACGAACAGGUCAUCGGUAACACUGGUCACGGCUGGAAGGUGGACUACACGAGCGGCACAUCCUCGAUCCGCGGCGGCCCGCUGGAGGGAGAGUACGCUCUGGCGCAGUACCACUGCCACUGGGGCCGAGAGGAGGACCGCGGCUCCGAGCAUACCAUCGACGGAAAACGGUACGCCGCCGAGCUGCACCUUGUGCACUACAACAAGAAGUAUGGCAGCUUCGCGGCGGCAGCUGACAAAAGCGAUGGCCUGGCCGUCAUAGGCAUCUUCCUCAAGGUGGGAAAGGAGAACAAGGAGCUGCUCAAGGUGACGAACGCCAUGAAGGACAUCAAGUACAACGGCAGCAAGACCAAGAUCGAGCCCACCGACCCUGACAACUUCAUGCCCGACACGCGCGUCUACUGGACGUACGAGGGCUCGCUCACCACGCCGCCGCUGUACGAGAGCGUCACCUGGAUCGUGUUCGCCGACCCCACGGAAAUCUCCAAGGAACAGUUGGCUGAGUUCCGGCACCUGAAGCGGCACGCCAACGACGACGAGAAGGGCGAGGACAGCGACGACGACGACGGCAUCAUCGCCGACAACUACCGGCCGCCGAUGCCGACCGGCGAGCGUGCCGUGCGCAGCUGCAACGCGCCCGUCAAGUUUGUCAAGAAGCAGUGAGGGCCGCGCGCCGAGCGUCGCCCCGUGGCCGUCUCCGGCGCGGGGCGGUCCGCGCCAGACACCGCCGCUCAGCCCACCCGCGGCCGGCUGUCCAGAGACUGCCGGAGACCCGGCUCACCGCUCACCGCACUGGUGGAGACAUGCGCUUCCUGUUAGAGGCUCCCAGCGGGGCCAGCCUUAGCUACAUCAGUAGUGUUUGUCUAGGACAAUCCAGAGAUAUAUCGCAUCGUUGCGCGCCGAGAGUUGUUGAGCCGAAUUAGUUUUGUACUCGAUGUUGAUUGUUUCUGUGAGCGGCCGUCCGCGCUGACGGUUUACCGUGGCGUCGAUAUGUCGCUCGUGACCCGCCCCGCCCCGUCUGACUCUGUGGACUGUGCCGCCGGUGUACGGUUUUGGUCGGGGAUUUAGCCCCGACUGGCAGGCCGUAGUGCGGUAGUGCAAUCAGCACGGCGGGGUCGCACAAGGGUCAGGUCCCAGACACUGCAAUACACCAGUGAAUAUACUAA
rnacentral:misc_RNA from 1 species